rnacentral:rRNA from 1 species
AUUGAACGCUGGCGGCAGGCCUAACACAUGCAAGUCGAGCGAGCGGCGGACGGGUGAGUAAUGUAUGGGGCCUGCCCGAUAGAGGGGGAUAACUUCUGGAAACGGUGGCUAAUACCGCAUACUAUCGGAUAACCUAUAUGGGAUUAGCUAGUGGGUGGGGUAAAGGCUAACCUGGGCGACGACCUCUGGCGGGUCUGAGAGGGUGAUCGGCCACACUGGGACUGGGAAACGGCCCGGACUCCGACGGAGGAAGCAGUGGGGAAUAUUGCACAAGGGGCGCAAGCCUGAUGCAGCCAUGCCGCGUGGAUGAAGAAGGCCUUGGGGUUGUAAAGUACUUUCAGCGGGGAGGCGUUACCCGCAGAAGAAGCACCGGCUAACUCCGUGCCAGCAGCCGCGGUAAUAC